AUCUGGUUGAUCCUGCCAGUAGUCAUAUGCUUGUCUCAAAGAUUAACCCAUGCAUGUCUAAGUAUAAGCUAUUUAUACGGUGAAACUGCGAAUGGCUCAUUAAAUCAGUUACAAUUUAUUUGAUGGUUCCUCCUACUUGGAUACCUGUAGUAAUUCUAGAGCUAAUACAUGCACCGAGACCCGACUUCUGGAAGGGUUGUAUUUAUUAGAGCAAAAACCAACUCUGGGGCAACCCGGAUCCUUGGUGAUUCAUGAUAACUUGUCGGAUCGCAUGGCUUUAUGCCGGCGACGCUUCAUUCAAAUUUCUGCCCUAUCAACUUUCGAUGGUAGGAUAGGGGCCUACCAUGGUGGCAACGGGUAACGGAGAAUUAGGGUUCGAUUCCGGAGAGGGCGCCUGAGAGAUGGCGACCACAUCCAAGGACGGCAGCAGGGACGCAAAUUACCCAAUCGCAACUCGCGGAGGUAGUGACAAUAAAUAACAAUGCGGGGGCUAUCGCUCUCGCAAUUGGAAUGAGAACAAUUUAAAUCUCUUAUCGAGUAUCAAUUGGAGGGAAAGUCUGGUGCCAGCAGCCGCGGUAAUUCCAG
rnacentral:rRNA from 1 species